rnacentral:rRNA from 1 species
UUCCGGUUGAUCCUGCCGGACCUGACUGCUAUCGGAUUGAUACUAAGCCAUGCGAGUCUUUGUAGUAAUACAAGGCAUACGGCUCAGUAACGCGUAGUCAACCUACCCUAUGGACAAGAAUAAUCUCGGGAAACUGAGCAUAAUUCUUGAUAGAUCAUAAUGCCUGGAAUGGUUUAUGGUUAAAAUGAUUCGUCGCCAUAGGAUGGGACUGCGGCCUAUCAGCUUGUUGGUGAGGUAAUGGCCCACCAAGGCGAUUACAGGUACGGGCUCUGAGAGGAGAAGCCCGGAGAUGGGUACUGAGACAAGGACCCAGGCCCUAUGGGGCGCAGCAGGCGAGAAAACUUUGCAAUGUGCGAAAGCACGACAAGGUUAGUCCGAGUGAUUUCUGCUAAAGAGAUCUUUUGCUAGUUAUAAAACCACUAGUGAAUAAGGGGUGGGCAAGUUCUGGUGUCAGCCGCCGCGGUAAAACCAGCACCUCAAGUGGUCAGGAUGAUUAUUGGGCCUAAAGCAUCCGUAGCCGGCUCUGUAAGUUUUCGGUUAAAUCUAUGCGCUCAACGUAUGGGCUGCCGAAAAUACUGUAGAGAUAGGGAGUGGGAGAGGUAGACGGUACUCGGUAGGAAGGGGUAAAAUCCUUUGAUCUAUCGAUGACCACCUGUGGCGAAGGCGGUCUACCAGAACACGUUCGACGGUGAGGGAUGAAAGCUGGGGGAGCAAACCGGAUUAGAUACCCGGGUAGUCCCAGCCGUAAACGAUGCAGACUCGAUGAUGCGUUGGCAUAUAGCCAGUGCAGUGUCGCAGGGAAGCCGUUAAGUCUGCCGCCUGGGAAGUACGUACGCAAGUAUGAAACUUAAAGGAAUUGGCGGGGGAGCACCACAAGGGGUGAAGCCUGCGGUUCAAUUGGAUUCAACGCCGGG